UAAGACGAACCGUGCGAACGUUAUUCGGAAUCACUGGGCUUAAAGCGCGUGUAGGCGGAUCGGCACGUCGGCGCCUGAAAUCCCCCGGCUCAACCGGGGAACGUGGCCCGAAACGACCAGUCUGGAGGGACGUAGGGGGAGCUGGAACUUCCGGUGGAGCGGUGAAAUGCGUUGAGAUCGGAAGGAACGCCCGUGGCGAAAGCGAGCUCCUGGACGUCUGCUGACGCUGAGACGCGAAAGCUAGGGUAGCGAACGGG
rnacentral:rRNA from 1 species